rnacentral:rRNA from 1 species
CACGUAGGCACCAAGCGUUGUCCGGAUUUAUUGGGCGUAAAGAGCUCGUAGGCGGUUCGGUAAGUCGGGUGUGAAAACUCUGGGCUCAACCCAGAGCCGCCACCCGAUACUGCUGUGACUUGAGUUCGGUAGGGGAGCGGGGAAUUCCUGGUGUAGCGGUGAAAUGCGCAGAUAUCAGGAGGAACACCGGUGGCGAAGGCGCACAUCUGGCCCGAUACUGACGCUGAGGCGCGAAAGCUAGGGGAGCAAACGGG